UAAGGGAUCUUCCGCAAUGGACGCAAGUCUGACGGAGCGACGCCGCGUGCGCGACGAAGCCCUUCGGGGUGUAAAGCGCUUUUCUCGGGGACGACCCCAAGACGGUACCCGAGGAAGAAGCCUCGGCUAACUACGUGCCAGCAGCCGCGGUAAUACGUAGGAGGCAAGCGUUGUCCGGAAUCACUGGGCGUAAAGCGCGUGUAGGCGGAGGGCUAAGUCUGUGGUGAAAGCGCCUGGCUCAACCGGGCGAGGUCCAUGGAAACUAGUCCUCUAGAGGCCGGUAGAGGGGGGUGGAAUUCCGGGUGUAGUGGUGAAAUGCGUAGAGAUCCGGAGGAACACCAGUGGCGAAGGCGGCCCCCCUGGGCCGCGCCUGACGCUGAGACGCGAAAGCGCGGGGAGCGAACGGGAUUAGAUACCCCGGUAGUCCGCGCAGUAAACGAUGUCCACUAGGUGUGGGGGGUAGUCGAGCCCCUCCGUGCCGCAGCCAACGCAGUAAGUGGACCGCCUGGGGAGUACGGCCGCAAGGUUAAAC
rnacentral:rRNA from 1 species